rnacentral:rRNA from 1 species
GACAGUGGUGCCAAGCGUUAUCCGGAUUUAUUGGGUUUAAAGGGUGCGUAGGUGGUUCUUUAAGUCAGGGGUGAAAGACGGCAGCUUAACUGUCGCAGUGCCUUUGAUACUGAAGAACUUGAAUACACUAGAGGUAGGCGGAAUGUGACAAGUAGCGGUGAAAUGCAUAGAUAUGUCACAGAACACCAAUUGCGAAGGCAGCUUACUAUAGUGUCAUUGACACUGAGGCACGAAAGCGUGGGUAGCAAACAGG